GACGAACGCUGGCGGCGUGCCUAAUACAUGCAAGUUGAGCGAUGAAGAUUGGUGCUUGCACCAAUUUGAAGAGCAGCGAACGGGUGAGUAACGCGUGGGGAAUCUGCCUUUGAGCGGGGGACCACAUUUGGAAACGAAUGCUAAUACCGCAUAACAACUUUAAACAUAAGUUUUAAGUUUGAAAGAUGCAAUUGCAUCACUCAAAGAUGAUCCCGCGUUGUAUUAGCUAGUUGGUGAGGUAAAGGCUCACCAAGGCGAUGAUACAUAGCCGACCUGAGAGGGUGAUCGGCCAAAGUGGGACGGAGACACGGCCCAAAAUCCUACGGGAGGCAGCAGUAGGGAAUCUUCGGCAAUGGACGAAAGGCUGACCGAGCAACGCCGCGUGAGUGAAGAAGGUUGUCGGAUCGGAAAACUCUGUUGGUAGAGAAGAAAGGUGGUGAGAGUGGAAAGCUCAUCAAGUGACGGUAACUACCCAGAAAGGGACGGCUAACUACGUG
rnacentral:rRNA from 1 species